CAGCAGCCACGGUAAUACGUAGGUGGCAAGCGUUGACCGGAAUUAUUGGGCGUAAAGGGCACGUAGGCGGUGAAAAGGGUGGAAAGUGAAAGUCGCCAAAACACUGGCGGGGUGCUUUCUUGACCAUUUCACUUGAGUGAGAUAGGGGAGAGUGGAAUUUCGUGUGGAGGGAUCAAAUCCUAAUAUAUACGAAGGAACGCCAACCGCGAAGGCAGCUCUCUGGGUCCCCACUGACGCUGGGGUGCGAAAGCAUUGGGGAGCAAACAGGAUCAGAUACCCCAGUAGUCCCUGUCUCUUAUAC
rnacentral:rRNA from 1 species